rnacentral:tRNA from 1 species
UGUGGCUGUGGCUCUGUGGUAGAGCGCUCGCCCAGCAUGUGUGAGGCACUGGGUUCAAUCCUCAGCACCACAA